rnacentral:rRNA from 1 species
GUCUUUUUGGUAAUUAAUAUAAAGUCUAACCUGCCCACUGAAUAAAUUUUAAAGGGCCGCAGUAUUUUGACUGUGCAAAGGUAGCAUAAUCAUUAGUCUUUUAAUUGAAGGCUGGUAUGAAUGGUUGAAUAAGAUACAAGCUGUGUCAUAAAAAUUAAUAAUUGAAUUUAACUUUUUAGUCAAAAGGCUAAAAUUUAUUUAAAAGACGAGAAGACCCUAUAGAGCUUUAUAUAUUUGUUAUUUAAAUUAUUAAGAUUUUUAAAAUUUAAUUUUUGAGAUAUAUUUUGUUGGGGUGACAAUAAAAUUUAUAAAACUUUUAUUUAUGAUUAACAUUAAUUUAUGAUUGUAUGAUCCAGUUUUAUUGAUUAUAAAUUUAAGUUACCUUAGGGAUAACAGCGUAAUUUUUUUUGAGAGUUCUUAUCGACAAAAAAGAUUGCGACCUCGAUGUUGGAUUAAGAGUAAUUUUGGGUGUAGAAGUUCAAAAUUUAAGUCUGUUCGACUUUUAAAUUCUUACAU